UCCUAUAUUUAGCCACAUUGUGUAAUAUGUGACAAUAAUACUUUGUACUCAGGGUACACCUUUUAUCAGAGGAACUCCAUGCAGUCUGCAAACAUCCCCAGCACAAUACCCCUGGAGUGGAAGGAACCUGCCAAGUGUUGUGAUCUCAGUCUUACGGCUGGAGAGACUGGGUCCCAGGAAGGUGGGGCACGGCCAAGGCUUCCUAAGGAGUCAAGAGCCAGAAAAGGACCAUGGGCUGCUCCCCUAAGCCAGAUACGAGCAACUUCCCCAACCACGAGAACAGGGUGGAAGUGAUGGGGUGUGAUUCCACGGCCAGGGCAUACAAGGCAACGCAGCUUCCACCUCAUGCCUGCGAUUGCUCCCUCUGGGGGAAGCCAGCCUCCAUGCCCAGAGGACACUCAGCAGCCCUGCAGAGAAGGCCACGUGGGCAGGAGCUGAGGUCCCCGCCCCCAGCUACCAGCAGCUUCCCCGGGUGUGUGGGCGAGCCAUCUGAGGGGCGCUCUAUGGAUGCUCUAUGGAUGGAGAGCCCUGUCUGGUCUCCAGGUGACGGCAGCCCGCCCCAGCCAACUUCCGACUGCAACCAUUCGAGAGACCCCAGAUCUAAGGAUCCCUGGUUACCUCCUGAAUUAUUCCCAUCACCCAAAACUGCCGUCUACUGAUCACGUAUUAUUUGAAGCAAGCACAAUCAUUCUGGGAAGUCGUGAACUACCCCUAAGUUACGUCUUUUCUAAACGUUCCUGAAGUUAAGAAGACUUUCAGCUUGGAGACUUUUGCUGUCUCCUCAAUCACGCUUGGUCAGUGGUGGCGUAUUCAGAACAUGCGUUGAAAAUAAAAAGUCACAUCGCAGCUGCCCGCUGAGGGUGGGCCUCGCAGGGCCACCAGCAGUUCACUGCUUCACUUCAGGCCCCGGAUGUAGAGAAAGCGGAGUAAAGCAACGUCAUCAAGGUUAAGAGUGAAAUUCAGCUCUGAUUUUAGAAGUUCCUAGGGAAAAAAAUCUUGUCUCUCCUCCUCCCUUGGCUCUACUUCGCUGGUGUUUUCCUGAACCUGAAAAACGUAUUUACUCUUUACGACGCC
rnacentral:lncRNA from 1 species